UUCGGUAGGUCAUAUUCAUGAAAGGGAAGGGGAUUGUAGUUACGACGUAAGGAACGGUCAACCAACUCGUGAUGGCGUCCGUAAAAUUUACGAAGGGGUGAUUUCAACUUCACCAUUUGGAACUCUUGGUUUAAUAGCUUCCUGGUGAGCAGUAAACCUCUAUCAAGAAAAUCAUGAUAGGAAAUGCAAGCACGGGAAUAUCGUA
rnacentral:lncRNA from 1 species